AUUCUUUUUCUCCCUUUGAAAUAUUUUGAGUUGCUGAAUUUCUCAUGAUGUUUCCCUGCUGCUUCUAACAAUUUUUUUUUUUUUAAAUGUAAAUUAGGCUGUAAAAUCUGUCUGGGGAAAUGUAUCUGCUCUCCCUGCUCUGUCACCAUCAUUAUUCUUCCUUUUUGUGUAACACUUCCUUCCAAGGAGAUGUACUUUGAACAUCUCCCAAACCUCCCAGUGAUGUCAGGAGAUGAAAGCUAUCCCCAUUACAACAGGGGAGACUGGAGAGAGCCAAGGUUGGAGGGAAACAUGGCCUUUAGAAAGUGACGCAUCUUGAGAGACAUUUCCCUUCCACACACUCUCCCAGGCCACAUGGGUGCUAUACAGAAGCAAAGAAAAACACAGUAUGCCUGAGGAAGGCUGUGGCUCACCAUCCACUUAGCCUGGCAUAUUCCCCUGCCUCUGAGCCCAUUAGGAGGGGUAAUGAGCUCUGAGUUCAUCUGAGAGACCUGCCUCUGCUUUUCACCAAGCUGGAAACCUGGGUGCAAGAACACCAUGCAGCAGCAAAAAGGGGUUCAACUCCACAUUAAAAACACCUCUUUGUUGGGGUGUUUCUUCUGAGUGUGGUGUCACGUAGGUGUGUGUGAAACAGGUGCACAAAGUCCUUCAGGGAGCUUGCCAGCUCUGCUGGAACACAUCUGCCUUUGGGAUGCUGAUAGACGAGGCGUUUUGUACAGCUGAGGGAGGAGCUGCUGCCACAGCACCAAAUGGAAGCUGGAAUUUGUGUUUGUUACGUCACCGGGACCCAUCUGAAGUCCAGAAUAAAAGAGCUUAUCCUCGCGAAUGACAGGCCUGGCAAACUGUGUGGAUUUUUCCAUGAAGACAGAUAAUAGAGCCUCACUAAUGCACCAGAGGGCUGAGUGCUGCCAUGAACUGAAGACCUCCUGCUUGGCCUCUAAUGGGCUUCGUGUGGGACUGCUAAUUCACCAGCUAAGGGGGUCUUCCCCAGGAAAAGCAUGACUGAAGCCAUUAGAUAGAAAUACCAAAAACAAAGCAAAUAAACACUGUGCCUGGAAGCA